ensembl:misc_RNA Metazoa_SRP Metazoan signal recognition particle RNA
GCUGGGCAUGGUGGUGCAUGCCUGUAGUCCCAGCUACUUGGGAGGCUGAGGUAUGAGGAUUGCUUGAGCCCAGGAGGCUGAGGCUGCAGUGAGCUGUGAUCGUGCCACUGUACUCCAGCCUGUGCGACACAGCAAGACCCUGUCUUAA